ACCACCUUGAAUAUCCCAGCCCAUAAAUAUGUCUGGGUCAAAAGAAUUAAUCAUCUUUAUGAUAUGAAAAAACACUUGCCUCUCUUCAAUGAAAGUUAAAACUUUACAUUCAGAUACUCCAUCAAGGUUUCUUUGAACUGAUUCACCAUUGCAAUGCAAAAGUACAUGAGUAUCAGAUCCAAAAUCAUCAUCUUCCUGAAAA
rnacentral:misc_RNA from 1 species